CGAAUAACAUUUUGAUUUUUAAUCGACGUUUCGACUAGUUUGUAGUCAUCCUCAGGAUGACUACAAACUAGUCGAAACGUCGAUUAAAAAUCAAAAUGUUAUU
rnacentral:miRNA from 1 species